AAAAAGACAAACUCUGGGUUUCCGUGUCCAACGUUAUAUGAAUUUUUUUAUGAUUAGUAUUUUCAUUAUUGUUAGAUGAUAAAACAUGAAUAAUACUUUAUGCGUGACUUACCUUUUUAAAUUUUUUUAUAAUUUCUACAAAUAAGACAGAUGGUCAAAUGUUAGACACUGAAACCCAGAAAUUGAGUUAUU
rfam:Oryza meridionalis cultivar OR44 (W2112) chromosome 6, whole genome shotgun sequence.